rnacentral:rRNA from 1 species
UAAUACGAACUGUGCAAACGUUAUUCGGAAUCACUGGGCUUACAGGGUGCGUAGGCGGUCUGUUAAGUAGGGUGUGAAAGCCCCCGGCUCAACCGGGGAAUUGCGCCCUAAACUGGCGGACUGGAGUGAGAUAGGGGUGUGCGGAACUUCCGGUGGAGCGGUGAAAUGUGUUGAUAUCGGAAGGAACGCCGGUGGCGAAAGCGGCACACUGGAUCUCAACUGACGCUGAGGCACGAAAGCCAGGGGAGCGAACGGGAUUAGAUACCCCGGUAGUCCUGGCUGUAAACGAUGAGCACUAGCUGGGAGGGACGUAGGUCCUUCCCAACGGAGCGAAAGUGUUAAGUGCUCCGCCUGGGGAGUAUGGUCGCAAGGCU